rnacentral:rRNA from 1 species
UGGGGAAUAUUGCACAAUGGGCGCAAGCCUGAUGCAGCCAUGCCGCGUGUAUGAAGAAGGCCUUCGGGUUGUAAAGUACUUUCAGCGGGGAGGAAGGGAGUAAAGUUAAUACCUUUGCUCAUUGACGUUACCCGCAGAAGAAGCACCGGCUAACUCCGUGCCAGCAGCCGCGGUAAUACGGAGGGUGCAAGCGUUAAUCGGAAUUACUGGGCGUAAAGCGCACGCAGGCGGAUUGUUAAGUCAGAUGUGAAAUCCCCGGGCUCAACCUGGGAACUGCAUCUGAUACUGGCAAGCUUGAGUCUCGUAGAGGGGGGUAGAAUUCCAGGUGUAGCGGUGAAAUGCGUAGAGAUCUGGAGGAAUACCGGUGGCGAAGGCGGCCCCCUGGACGAAGACUGACGCUCAGGUGCGAAAGCGUGGGGAGCAAACAGG